UAUAAAAUAGUACAAGGAGUAGUAAACAGAAAAUGCUUUUUUAGAGAGUUGAUGGCUGGUGAAAAUCAACAAAGCACACUGUUGAACUUGCCUUAUUUCAUUUAUGCUAUUUAGGAUGGAAUCCUUUAUCAACCGAAGAAGUGGACUUUCUGUCAAUUAGGGUGGUACCGCGGACUAUUGUGCUCCGUCCCUAAA
rfam:Clostridium aceticum strain DSM 1496, complete genome.